CCAAUAGCGUAUAUUAAAGUUGUUGCAGUUAAAAAGCUCGUAGUUGAAUUUCGGGGUUAGUAGGUUGGUCAUGCCUCUGGUAUGUACUGAUCUCACUGAUUCCUCCCUCUUGACGAACUGUAAUGUCAUUAAUUUGGUGUUGCAGGAAAUCAGGACUGUUACUUUGAAAAAAUUAGAGUGUUUAAAGCAGGCUUAGGCUUGAAUACAUUAGCAUGGAAUAAUGAAAUAGGACGUUUGAUCCUAUUUUGUUGGUUUCUAGGGUCGACGUAAUGAUUAAUAGGGAUAGUUGGGGGCAUUAGUAUUCAAUUGUCAGAGGUGAAAUUCUUGGAUUUAUUGAAGACUAACUACUGCGAAAGCAUUUGCCAAGGAUGUUUUCAUUAAUCAAGAACGAAAGUUAGGGGAUCGAAGACGAUCAGAUACCGUCGUAGUCUUAACCAUAAACUAUGCCGACUAGGGAUCGGAUGAUGUUAAUUAUUUAAUGACUCAUUCGGCGCCUUACG
rnacentral:rRNA from 1 species